AACGAACGCUGGCGGCAGGCUUAACACAUGCAAGUCGAACGCCCCGCAAGGGGAGUGGCAGACGGGUGAGUAACGCGUGGGAACCUUCCCUAUAGUACGGAAUAUACCAGGGAAACUUGGAGCAAUACCGUAUACGCCCUUCGGGGGAAAGAUUUAUCGCUAUAGGAUGGGCCCGCGUAGGAUUAGCUAGUUGGUGAGGUAAUGGCUCACCAAGGCGACGAUCCUUAGCUGGUUUGAGAGAAUGACCAGCCACACUGGGACUGAGACACGGCCCAGACUCCUACGGGAGGCAGCAGUGGGGAAUCUUGGACAAUGGGCGCAAGCCUGAUCCAGCCAUGCCGCGUGAGUGAUGAAGGCCUUAGGGUUGUAAAGCUCUUUUAGCAGGGAAGAUAAUGACUGUACCUGCAGAAUAAGCUCCGGCUAACUUCGUGCCAGCAGCCGCCGUAA
rnacentral:rRNA from 1 species